rnacentral:lncRNA from 1 species
GGAGACUGUGUGAAUCAGGCCUUCAUGGUCAAAUUGCUGCAAAGAAACCAUUACUUAAGGACACCAAUAAUAAGAUAGACUUGCUUGGGCAAAGAAACAGGAUCAGUAAAUCAAAUGAAAGUGUAUUUGUCACGUGCGCCGAAUACAACAGGUGUAGACCUUACAGUGAAAUGCUUACUUACAGGCUCUAACCAAUAGUGCAAAAAAGGUAUUAGGUGAACAAUAGGUAAGUAAAGAAAUAGAACGACAGUAAAAAGACAGGCUAUAUACAGUAGCGAGGCUAUAAAAGUAGUGAGGCUACAUACAGACACGGGUUAGUCAGGCUGAUUGAGGUAGUAUGUACAAGUAGAUAUGGUUAAAGUGACUAUGCAUAUAUGAUGAACAGAGAGUAGCAGUAGCUACUUGGUGGGUGGGACACAAUGCAGAUAGCCCGGUUAGCCAAUGUGCGGGAGCACUGGUUGGUCGGCCCAAUUGAGGUACUAUGUACAUCAAUGUAUAGUUAAAGUAACUAUGCAUUUAUGUUAAACAGAGAGUAGCAGCAGCAUAAAAAGAGGGGUUGGGGGGGCACACAAUGCAAAUAGUCCGGGUAGCCAUUUGAUUACCUGUUCAGGAGUCUUAUGGCUUGGGGGUAAAAACUGUUCAGAAGCCUUUUUGUCCAAGACUUGGCACUCCGGUACCGCUUGCCAUGCGGUAGUAGAGAGAACAGUCUAGGACUGGGGUGGCUGGGGUCUUUGACAAUUUCUAGGGCCUUCCUCUGACACCGCCUGGUGUAGAGGUCUUGGAUGGCUGGCAGCUUAGCCCCAGUGAUGUACUGGGGCUAGACAUUAGACAUUAGACCGGUGGAAAUCUGUCCUUUGGUCUGAUGAGUCCAAAUUUGAGAUUUUUGGUUCCAACCGCCGUGUCUUUGUGAGACGCAGAGUAGGUGAACAGAUGAUCUCCGCAUGUGUGGUUCCCACCGUGAAGAAUGGAGGAGGAGGUGUGAUGGUGUGGGGGUGAUUUGCUGAUGAAACUGUCUGUGAUUUAUUUAGAAUUAAAGGCACACUUAACCAGUGUCGUGUCUUUGGGGUACCAUUAAACUGAAGACAUGUUUAUCAAUUAACUCCCUGUAAUUAUUAUCAGGCGAUUAAAGUGAUUAAUCGUUUAAUUGUAAUUAACUAGGAGAUCGGGGCACCAAGGAAAAUAUUCAGAUUACAAAGUUAUAAUUUUCCUAAUAUAACUUUCCUAUAUUAUAACAUUAUAUAUUAUAUUCUAUUAUAGUAUAGGCCGAUUAUCUUCUGGUUUAAAUGGUGUAUUUUACCUCGCGUCCAGUCACAUUCCAAACGUCGUAAAUUGUUGUAUCUGCACAAACCCAGCCUUUACUAAGAGUCAUCCAUACAUCAAUUGUCUUAAAAUCAUUUAUUUACUAAACUAAGUAAUUCACAGAAAGCAUACAAACAGUAAUUAUCAUCACAAAGAAUUGGUAGAGUAAUGUGGCCUAGUGGCUAACAGGCAUGGCUGGUGUCUUGUUCAACAAUGGGUCAUAAAAGUUCAGCUGAGGAGGGACACAGAGUUCAUUAAUAUUAACAAUUGACAUGCUAAUCCUUUGCACAUGAACGCUCACUCAUUUGGGAACAAUUGCAAUCAAUAUAUAUUUACGCUCAGUGUGUCGUCGGGAUCCUUGUUGGAGCGUCGUUCUGUUGGAGAGUUUUGUCCGCGCUCUCUCUCUCUCUCUCUCUCUCGGUUAGAAUGGAUCUUUCAAAGCGACAUUCAUUAAUGUCGUUAUAGAAUGGAUGUUUCGUUGGUCUUCGCGUUCAAUUAUAUAAUUUCUAGCUGCAGACUAUUAAUUAAUAUCAAAGACUUGUUCUUAUUCUGUCGGUAUCAAUAGUCUAAAAGUUAACCACGUGGUAUAGUUCACUUUCAGUAAAGUACUUGGAUGGUCAAACCUAUUGGCCAACUCGCAAUGGAGUGGAGGCCUGGUCUCUAGAAAGUAAAUCAGGGUGGGGUGGUUUUAUAGUGAACAUAGAACAGGCUUGUCACAUGACGCCUGGUCCUGUCUGUGUCCCUGGGGGCGUGCCGAUGACUGAGUUAAGCUUGGUACAGAAAUACAAUUCUAUCACAUUAACAUCAGUACAUAGCAUCUCAAUGCACUACAAAUAGCUUUAUCCUUAUUAAUACAUUUUAUACAACCAUGUGGAUGCAAGUCCCAUCGCUGAGGCUAUUAUAUAAACAGUUUUAUGGUAAUAUGGCUAUAUUGUCUCUUCUGAGUAUCACAAAAUUGUACCAAGUGGACCAGUUCGUAGCUGGAUUCUUCACCAGUCUUCCAUACCUUCUCCAGAACACAAAUGUCGCUUGGCUCCCCAAUUCUGUGAGUUGGAAGAAUUUCCUGUGUCUCUCUAUGGGCCAUGUGGCAAGAGAUUCUCCUCUUAGAGUUUUACAACCCUUUCACACAGGGCCUGGGUGGGGGGAGGUAGGUUGGGGGAUGGUGCAAGGGGGGAGGGGGUCAACUGUCCUCUCUGUACUCAAAGAGGCCAACGUCAUGACACCAGCAUGGCUACCACAGCAUUCUGCAGCGAUACGCGAUACAUCUGGUUUGUGCUUAGUGGGACUAUCAUUUGUUUUACAACAUGACAAUGACCCAACACACCUCCAGGCUGUGUAAGGGCUAUUUCACCAAGAAGGAGAGUGAUGGAGUGCUGCAUCCGAUGACCUGGCCUCCACAAUCACCCAACCUCAACCCAACUGAGAUGGUUUGGGAUGAGUUGGACCGCAGAGUGAAGGAAAAGCAGCCAACAAGUGCUCAGCAUAUGUGGGAACUCCUUCAAGACUGUUGGAAAAGCAUUCCAGGUGAAGCUGGUUAAGAGAAUGCCAAGAGUGUGCAAAGCUGUCAAGGCAAAGGGUGGCUAUCUGAAGAAUAUAAAAUAUAUUUUGACACUUUUUUGGCUACUACACUUUUUUAGUUACUACAUGAUUCCAUAUUCCAUAUACUUGUGUUGAUGUCUUCACUAUUAUUCUACAUUGUAGAAAAUAGUAAAAAAUAAAGCAAAACCCUUGAAUGAGUAGGUGUAUCCAAACUUUUGACUGGUACUGUAUAUAUUUCGUGGCUUGGGGCUGACACAACUUUAGAAAGUGUGUGUGUGUGUGUAUCAUUGCCUCCGUGGGAGUGUGUGUGUGUGUGUGUGUGUGUGUAGGACAGGAUGCAUUAUGUCAUGGCUUGGGGUGCUUUGUCAAUGUACUUCAUAUUGUUUGUUACAUGGACCUAGCUCUGUUCCCUCACUGGCCAGUCAGAGGAGCGUGCUGUGAGUGUCUCUCUCUCUCUGUUUCUCUCUGUUCCCUCACUGGCCAGUCAGAGGAGCGUGCUGUGAGUGUCUCUCUCUCUGUUUCUCUCUGUUCCCUCACUGGCCAGUCAGAGGAGCGUGCUGUGAGUGUCUCUCUCUCUGUUUCUCUCUGUUCCCUCACUGGCCAGUCAGAGGAGCGUGCUGUGAGUGUCUCUCUCUCUUGUUUCUCUCUGUUCCCUCACUGGCCAGUCAGAGGAGCGUGCUGUGAGUGUCUCUCUCUCUGUUUCUCUCUGUUCCCUCACUGGCCAGUCAGAGGAGCGUGCUGUGAGUGUCUCUCUCUCUGUUUCUCUCUGUUCCCUCACUGGCCAGUCAGAGGAGCGUGCUGUGAGUGUCUCUCUCUCUGUUUCUCUCUGUUCCCUCACUGGCCAGUCAGAGGAGCGUGCUGUGGGUGUUGUGAGUCAGAGGCUAAUUGCCAGGUCAGUGUGCCAGCGAGUGCCAGCAGCCGUCUGUGCCCACUAGAAUACAUCUCUCACGCCUCCCCUCUAAUACCACUCUUUCUCUUUCUCUUCACCCACCACCCCCUGUGUCUGCUCGCUCUAGGGGUGACUUCCCUGGCGGCGCUAACACAGCCGUUAGACACAGAAACACCUGGCCUCGGAACAAGGAACCGGCAGACACACUGGCUGCUUCACCUUAACAAGCUCUUGAAUUUCACUUAUGUUGUAUAGACUGUCUGUAUGUGAUGUGGGACAAUGGGCACAGUUCCAUUGGCGCCACAAAUGAUCUGAACAAGGAGGCUGAGCAGACCCGUCUCAAAAUGACAUAGCCGCCAUAGAACUAAGUCACAGCUAAUAGGCAUGGUGAGAAAAACAUACUACAUAGCACUUGCAAACUCAUGUCAAAACAUAGUCUUUAAUGCAUCCAUCAUUCUGUGUACAAUCUCUGUGUAGAAUCUGUAUGACACUGCUAUGUUUCCAGGUGUUUUCUAAUGAUAAAGAAUGAGUCCCGUUGUAAUAAUCAUUCUAUAGGCUUCUCUCUCUGGGGUUACGUUGUAGCUGGUGCCAGAGAACUGAGUGUGGGUUCACUGCCCUGCAUGUUAGUGUGGGUGUGAGUCCACUGCCCUGCAUGUUAGUGUGGGUGUGAGUCCACUGCCCUGCAUGUUAGUGUGGGUGUGAGUCCACUGCCCUGCAUGUUAGUGUGGGUGUGAGUCCACUGCCCUGCAUGUUAGUGUGGGUUCACUGCCCUGCAUGUUAGUGUGGGUGUGAGUCCACUGCCCUGCAUGUUAGUGUGGGUGUGGGUCCACUGCCCUGCAUGUUAGUGUGGGUGUGAGUCCACUGCCCUGCAUGUUAGUGUGGGUGUGAGUCUACUGCCCUGCAUGUUAGUGUGGGUGUGGGUCCACUGCCCUGCAUGUUAGUGUGGGUGUGAGUCCACUGCCCUGCAUGUUAGUGUGGGUGUGGGUCCACUGCCCUGCAUGUUAGUGUGGGUGUGAGUCCACUGCCCUGCAUGUUAGUGUGGGUGUGAGUCCACUGCCCUGCAUGUUAGUGUGGGUGUGAGUUCACUGCCCUGCAUGUUAGUGUGGGUUCACUGCCCUGCAUGUUAGUGUGGGUGUGAGUCCACUGCCCUGCAUGUUAGUGUGGGUGUGAGUCCACUGCCCUGCAUGUUAGUGUGGGUGUGGGUCCACUGCCCUGCAUGUUAGUGUGGGUGUGAGUCCACUGCCCUGCAUGUUAGUGUGGGUGUGAGUCCACUGCCCUGCAUGUUAGUGUGGGUGUGGGUCCACUGCCCUGCAUGUUAGUGUGGGUGUGAGUCCACUGCCCUGCAUGUUAGUGUGGGUGUGGGUUCACUGCCCUGCAUGUUAGUGUGGGUGUGGUUCCACUGCCGUGCAUGUUAGUGUGGGUGUGGGUCCACUGCCCUGCAUGUUAGUGUGGGUGUGGGUCCACUGCCCUGCAUGUUAGUGUGGGUGUGGGUCCACUGCCCUGCAUGUUAGUGUGGGUGUGGGUCCACUGCCCUGCAUGUUAGUGUGGGUUCACUGCCCUGCAUGUUAGUGUGGGUGUGGUUCCACUGCCCUGCAUGUUAGUGUGGGUGUGGGUCCACUGCCCUGCAUGUUAGUGUGGGCCCACUGCCCUGCAUGUUAGUGUGGGUGUGGGUCCACUGCCCUGCAUGUUAGUGUGGGUGUGGUUCCACUGCCCUGCAUGUUAGUGUGGGUGUGGGUCCACUGCCCUGCAUGUUAGUGUGGGUGUGGGUCCACUGCCCUGCAUGUUAGUGUGGGUGUGGUUCCACUGCCCUGCAUGUUAGUGUGGGUGUGGUUCCACUGCCCUGCAUGUUAGUGUGGGUCCACUGCCCUGCAUGUUAGUGUGGGUCCACUGCCCUGCAUGUUAGUGUGGGUGUGGGUCCACUGCCCUGCAUGUUGGUGUGGGUCCACUGCCCUGCAUGUUGGUGUGGUUCCACUGCCCUGCAUGUUAGUGUGGGUGUGGGUCCACUGCCCUGCAUGUUGGUGUGGGUCCACUGCCCUGUAUGUUAGUGUGGGCCCACUGCCCUGCAUGUUGGUGUGGGUCCACUGCCCUGCAUGUUAGUGUGGGUCCACUGCCCUGCAUGUUAGUGUGGGUCCACUGCCCUGCAUGUUGGUGUGGGUCCACUGCCCUGUAUGUUAGUGUGGGUCCACUGCCGUGCAUGUUAGUGUGGGUCCACUGCCCUGCAUGUUAGUGUGGGUCCACUGCCCUGCAUGUUAGUGUGGGUCCACUGCCCUGCAUGCUAGUGUGGGUCCACUGCCCUGCAUGUUAGUGUGGGCCCACUGCCCUGCAUGUUAGUGUGGGUCCACUGCCCUGCAUGUUAGUGUGGGUCCAAUGCCCUGCAUGUUAGUGUGGGUCCAAUGCCCUGCAUGUUGGUGUGGGUCCACUGCCCUGCAUGUUAGUGUGGGUCCACUGCCCUGCAUGUUAGUGUGGGUCCACUGCCCUGCAUGUUGGUGUGGGUCCACUGCCCUGCAUGUUAGUGUGGGUCCACUGCCCUGCAUGUUAGUGUGGGUCCACUGCCCUGCAUGUUAGUGUGGGCCCACUGCUGCAUGUUAGUGUGGGUCCAUUGCCCUGCAUGUUAGUGUGGGUGUGGGUCCACUGCCCUGCAUGUUUGCGUGGAUGUGUGAACAAGUUGAAGACCUGUAAUUUCCGUAUUCUUCAGAAGCAUCUCACAGGGGCACACCUACAUCAGUGAGGAGUGUGUUUGUGUGUUUGUGCGUGUGUGUGUGUCUCCCAGUUCUGUAACAGUCUCAUGAGAACACACAUACAGUCAGGAAGGGACUGGUCCACCAUCACUCUCCACCCGGACUGGGACUAAACCCAACCCAUACAGGACCUUAGACCAACACACCACACAAUGUUAGGACCGGAGCAGCGCUAGCCAGGGAAUAGCUGUCCUCACACACACACACACACACACAGGGCUGUCUUCCCAGAGUGGCCGACAGAACAUGGAUCGCAUCCCAGUCAAACACUUCAGCCCUAACACUGUAUCUCUGCACCUCUGUCUAAAACAGUAUGUUUUUCCAUUCAUUCACAGGAGAAGCCUUGUAUUGUGUUUUGGUUUGAAUUGAAUACUCCCUUUAUUCCCCCACAUACCAGUGAGCAAUUCUUUCUUGACAUAAUAUUAGAUAUUUGGACAUUUUCAUUAGCUCAACCUAUAAAUUAAAACAUUAGAUUAGACUAGAAAUAGUACAUUUUCUGAAGCAGUCUAAAGUAUGUUUCCUCGACUCCAGCCAUUUCAAAUUUCUGCAGGAUGCCUGGAUUCAUUUGAAUUUAGCCCACCCCUUUUAAGUUGGCAGUUUGAGUGAUUGACAGGAAGGAAUGUUCCACAGGAUUUCACAACAGAAAGGCCAAUGUUUGUGGGAUUGUAAAACAGUCCUGUACAGAGAGCGAACAGUAGCUAGCAACAUCACAACAUAUUGGUAUCACACUGUGAUUCUGACCUGAGAUAGAGCUUCUAGACGUCUUAUUCAGAACUCAGUUAGGAGCUAACUACUGGAGGACUCCUGUUCUUCUACCCAUUCAGAACUCAGUAAGGAGGACUCCUGUUCUACUACCC